rnacentral:siRNA from 1 species
CCAAGGGUCGAGAGGCUUGC